rnacentral:lncRNA from 1 species
GUAAGUUGAGGUGACUGCGUGCCUCACAUAUAUUAGGUAGCAAGUUGUUUCCUUUAUGGUUGUACUGACCCCUACUGUAAUUUCAAGAGCAUCCUUAUUGUUCCAUUCUCGCCAAUUAUUAUUAUCAGGCUUGUAAAUUUUUCUAUAUCAUUUUAAUAUGCAUUCUCUUUAAUUUUGCAUUUUCUUCUAAAACUUUCAAAGUUCUGCCUUUCUCAUUUAAGCCCUUGACCGUCCAUCUUAAUCUGGGUUUUGUGUGUGAAGUUAUAUGUCCAUUUGUCUUUCAAAGAAACAUUUUCUUAUAUUUCUCUUGGUUAAAAAACUUUCAGAGAGAAAAUUUUAACCCUAACCCCAUCUAUUUUGAGGAGAAUCAGUGGGUUUACCAAAGACUACGAUCAUACACAGAGCUCAGAGAAGCGCUCCCCUUCUGUUAGGAUUUAGAUCUUGGGUGUCUCCCCAAAGCCUGUGCUGGAAGGUGGUUGGAUCACAAGAGCACUGUACUCACCAGUGGGUUUGUCCAUUGAUGAGUUCAUAGCUGAGUUGCUAUGGGGAGGUGGGGUCUGGUUGGAAGAGGUGCAUCACCGGGGUGUGACCUGGAAGGAUCCAUCUUCUGUGCUUCCUGACCCCCAUGAUGUGAGCAGCUUUCCUCCACCCAGGACUUCCUGGUGCCGCCAAACAUAGCCAGAAACUUCUCAACUAUGUACUUCUAUGACUUAUAAAAAAGCAGCAGAACAAUGCCCUUUCACCAGCAUCCUCCUCCGGCAUCAUUUGUCAUUGGGUCAUGUGAAAGUGGGUAGUGACUCACUGAGGGCCGAAGUGAAGACAGCUGAAGAAUGUUCAGAGGCUCUAGAUAAGCUGAUUGUGAAGAAACUCACUUGCCGGAGCUGAGCUUCCAUAUGGACGAGAGCCUCCGGUCCACAAAGGGAUGCCUGAAAGGACUUCGUCCACAAGGAGGCCACGUCAGAUACAGGUCUCAGGGCUUUGAAUGACAGGGUGAUGACCUUGCUGGGGCAGUGCUGCAGGCUGCACAUUGAAGUCCUUCAUAAUCCAGCACCAUGAGGACCCCAGGGCUAUCACAUCUGUCAAUAAGCACACACUGCCAGGGUCUUACAGGAUCAGCAAGAAGUCAGGGGCCACCGUACUUCUCUUUCGAGACGCUUUUCUGAAGUGCUUUGCCAGCAAAACAGAAUAGCAUGCUUUGGAGAAUAACACACUUUUCCGGAUCUUCUUUAUGGUUGACAAUGAUCUGAGGCCUCCUCCUUUACUGCCGAUCUUCAUCCCAAUAUCAAAGUGGUGUCUUUUUGACCCAGCUGAUGGAUCACAGUGCUAUAGCAGCUUCUGAAGUCUGCCACCUGAGGACCCCUGCCCAGGCCAGUGCAGCAGCCAGUGAGGACAUGUAGAUGACACAGAUGGAGCCUGGAAGAGUCACAGUGUGUCUGAGCGCAUCUAGCACCUGGCUUGGGUUUGAGGUGAUGUCACUGAAGAGCAUAGGAAUGGCACCCGGAAGAACACAUCCAGAGGUCCACACCGAUUCGCGAGGAGGAGGCGGCUGCAGAGAUCAAAAAGUCUGUGGCUGUGAAAGAAACACCUUAACCUGUCUGGGGAUGAGGACCCAACUGAGGAGCCCCUGGAGGUAGGUCCCGAGGAGCUGCCUAAUGAGGAAUUGUGGGGCUGGACGAGGAAUGCAUAGCUGAAGAAGAGAACUGAAG